rnacentral:rRNA from 1 species
AUACGAAGGGGGCUAGCGUUGUUCGGAAUUACUGGGCGUAAAGCGCAUGUAGGCGGACAGGGUUUAAGUCAGGGGUGAAAUCCCGGGGCUCAACCUCGGAACUGCCUUUGAUACUGGGCGUCUAGAGUGUGGAAGAGGUAAGUGGAAUUCCGAGUGUAGAGGUGAAAUUCGUAGAUAUUCGGAGGAACACCAGUGGCGAAGGCGGCUUACUGGUCCAUUACUGACGCUGAGGUGCGAAAGCGUGGGGAGC